AGCCGCGGUAAUACGUAGGGAGCGAGCGUUGUCCGGAAUUACUGGGUGUAAAGGGAGCGUAGGCGGGAAGGCAAGUCAGCUGUGAAAUACAUGGGCUUAACCCAUGGACUGCAGUUGAAACUGUUUUUCUUGAGUGAAGUAGAGGUAGGCGGAAUUCUGAGUGUAGCGGUGAAAUGCGUAGAUAUUCGGAGGAACACCAGUGGCGAAGGCGGCCUACUGGGCUUUAACUGACGCUGAGGCUCGAAAGUGUGGGGAGCAAACAGGAUUAGAUACCCUGGUAGUCCACACUGUAAACGAUGAUUGCUAGGUGUGGGAGGUCUGACCCCUUCCGUGCCGCAGUUAACGCAAUAAGCAAUCCACCUGGGGAGUACGAUCGCAAGAUUAAAACUCAAAGGAAUUGACGGGGGCCCGCACAAGCAGUGGAUUAUGUGGUUUAAUUCGAAGCAACGCGAAGAACCUUACCAGGUCUUGACAUCCAACUAACGAGAUAGAGAUAUGUUAGGUGCCCUUCGGGGAAAGUUGAGACAGGUGGUGCAUGGCC
rnacentral:rRNA from 1 species